rnacentral:rRNA from 1 species
UACGUAGGGGGCAAGCGUUGUCCGGAUUUACUGGGCGUAAAGAGCGUGUAGGCGGCCAAGCAGGUCCGUUGUGAAAACUCGAGGCUCAACCUCGAGACGUCGGUGGAAACCGUAUGGCUAGAGUCCGGAAGAGGAGAGUGGAAUUCCUGGUGUAGCGGUGAAAUGCGCAGAUAUCAGGAAGAACACCCGUGGCGAAGGCGGCUCUCUGGGACGGUACUGACGCUGAGACGCGAAAGCGUGGGGAGCGAACAGG